GUCUUCUCUCAGAUCUCAAUGGCGGAAGUUGAACUUGGGGCCAAUUUAUUCCCAAAUGGUUUUCCUUGGCUCUAUGCCUUGUUUGCUAUGCUUUUUGUAUUUUUUCUUUUUGUCAUGUUCUCUCCUUUUUUACUUGAGAUAGACCAAUGUAUAAAGAAAUGCUGUCCUCUGGAGUCACCAAGGAGAGAAGUUCUGGGAAGGAAGGAAGAUGGGAUGGGAAUAGAUCCCUCAUUUGUGAGGGUAGCAAGGGACUCUGAGGCUGACAUCUGCACCUCUGGGCCGUCAGUUUGAGAGCGGCUGAGCCUGUAAAAAAAUCACUUGUGACGUUGUAUUCCAGACAUGAGAGAGCUUUUGAGACCUUCAUUAAUGUAUGUUUAUACUGAAAAAAAAAGGAGAAAUAAUAAAUAUUUUGAGACUCCCAAAA